UCCUUGAUGGCUUGGAUGCUAAAGAGCCUGCCUGCAAUGCAGGAGACCCAGGUUCAGUCCCUGGGUGGGGAA
rnacentral:tRNA from 1 species